rnacentral:rRNA from 1 species
UACGUAGGGGGCGAGCGUUGUCCGAAGUUACUGGGCGUAAAGCGCGCGUAGGCGGUCAUUUAAGUCUGAGGUGAAAGGUUCAGCGCUCAACGUGAACAGUGCCUUGGAUACUGGGUGACUUGAGUUCGGGAGGGGGCAGUGGAAUUCCUGGUGUAGCGGUGAAAUGCGUAGAUAUCAGGAGGAACACCGAUGGCGAAGGCAGCUGCCUGGCCCAGAACUGACGCUGAGGUGCGAAAGCGUGGGGAGCGAACGGG